AUAAUAAUAGUUAUUUCUAAGUCGCCAGUCUAUACACAUCUUUAGGCUUCCGAAUGCUGUACCGUUGCCUGGCUGUUUAAAAAAAUAAAAUCGCGGCGUGUAAAACAUUGCGCGGGAAAAUAAAAAAGGGCGGGAAAAUAAAGUAGCGCCACAGAUAAUAACUAAUGUGGAUUUUAGACUUAUCAAGGAGGUUUUAUUACUGAGUUUUGUAGAUAAUUAAUAUGCUAGAGUGAUUUUAAUACAACUAAUACCUAUUGUGUUCGUAAAUUACCAUGAUGCAGUUAAUAUUUAUUGGAUUAAUGGUGUUGGCUAGCUCAGUAAGGUCACAAGAAGCGAUACUACGAAAUGAUUUUGAAGGACCACACCCCGACGGCACUUACAGAUGGGCGCUACAAACUGAAGGCGGUAUAUACCACGAGCAGCGUGGAUCACUACAAGAGACGAUAGCUGGUCCCAGUCUGGUGGUGGAGGGGCAGUACCAAUACACCGCGCCUGGUGGCCAGGUGAUCCACGUGUUAUACAAAGCUGACGAGCGUGGAUUCCAACCCAUAGUUACGUAUAGUUUUAAUUAGACAUUAAGUUUGUUACUUGUUACGAUCAGAUAAAUAUAUCUAUUGAAAUAAA